CCGUAGAUGCGGCUCCGCCAACCUGACGCCAUCCUCUCGGACGCUAGGCCUCUCCGUCGGCCGGCUUCGGUUGCGACGCUACAGAAUGGCGACGAGGACUCUGUAGAAGAACCUGCCGUGCCUCAACUGUCGCGAAAUCCGACGAGGGUACGGAGAUCAGACCACCGAUGAACACUUCGGUUAUGAGAACGGGGACAAGCAAGAGACGCUGCUUCGAUCACUUCGACGGGUACUGAGGGCGUCAAGGCCCGACAGCGCAACGUACACAUGGUGGCCUUCCUCGACGUUGCCAGGUUCAAAACUUCAAGGCAACGGCAACGGACACUAUCCAUUCGCAGUGGAAAUCAGUCGCGUGCUUCUAGGUCACGACCUCAAGGCGAACGCAGUCAUUGGACUCUGCCCGCUGUCACCAGUGAUUAUUGCAGUGACUGAGAUGCACAAAGCACAACACCGGCUGUGGCGAUCGGUUGCGUGCGUGCAGCACGAUUGUAUGUUCCCCUGUUGGCCCCCCCCUUUCUCCUAAUACCUUAAGUCAUCGCCACUCGUUCUCAGGGUUUAUGCACUGUUCUGUAUUGGACGCCCAAACGGCAUCUUUCCUGCAUCUUCUACAAAUGGCUUUUUCUCGGCGGUGGGCAAUGUGUUUUUCAAACCGUAUCGAGGCAAAGUACACGAAUGACGACAAUGUUGCGGCGUAGCCAUGCAUGCCGAUUGGAGCGCCCUCUGUCCAUCCGUUGUGGCCGGGAGCGGCGUGCUCUGAAGAUGUGCCACUGUCUGCUUACAGUGCACCGGCAGAGGAGCACCUUCAGGAUUCGCCAGGGUAAUUGGUCACGUACAGUGCCGCUAUGUCCUCGUCAGUCAUUGUUGCAUUCUUCAGAACCUUCCUCCUGCCACCAGAAGACUGUACACCAAAUGAAGCAGUCAUAUUCUUUGAGCUGUGGCAGUUGUUCCAUGCAUUGGCUGCGGACUCAUCGCUACUUCUCGGCUGUCACCAUCGGAAGCAUCGGCCAAGCAGGAUGGUGCGGCGAAGAAGUAACACUAGUGACGUGUCAAGAUUGGAAACGCGCCUAUGAGCUCAUCAACAUUUUAGAGGACACCAACCAGGAGGGUCCGCACAGGCUCUUCACCAUGAAAUAGAGGAGAACCAGCCCACUUCCUGUCAUUGCUGGACUUGCGGCGGCUGCUGAGCGCAGGCUGCAUCUGGGCUACGAUUGCUAUAUACUAGAGCUAGAAUGAUGCUGUGACUAGGCUUCACCCCCGGCCUAUGUCGUCAUACCUGAGCGUCCGGGCUUCUCCGGCAUACAUCGACCUCGCCUCGGCGACGGGAAGUCACUGGGCGGUUUUGGAUGUUGACUUUGAUGAACAAGCGGGUGCUGCACCGCUGUGCUGACACCUUCAACAAAGCAUCGGUGAGCUUAACGAUUCGGUGAAGCAUUCGGUGGAGGAGGUCCAGAAGGCCAUCGUCAGCUUGGACCGCACGCCGGACGAAGUAUUGCGGGGCCUGGAAAUCAACAAGGCUGUCGUAACGGUCAUUGCUGGCGUCACCACGAUCAUAGGGGCACUCUACCUGCUAGGAAUUCGCUGUGCGGUUUUGGAUGUCCCAGUUUGAACAUGGUAUUCCAUUCAGGAAAUUCAAGGACUCCUGCGUCGGGGGAAGCAGGAAUACUCCCUGAGCAGUGGCAGUUAUUCACAUGUAUUGGCUGCGGACUUGUCACUACUUCCCUGCUGUCACCAUCGGAAUACGCUGUGCCGUUUGGGAUGUCGGUGUUCUGGCAUGGUAUUCUACAUAGCGAACAUGAUCAAUACCAUCCUGCAACCAUUAGGAUCGUUUUUUACUCAGCGGUUCCCAGAUUGCGUUCAAUAUAGAAAGACUGCACAGCAGUGGAGGACCACUUUCAGAAUUCACUGCGAGAAUCGUUCUCGUGCGGUGCCGUUACAUCCUCGCCAGCGAUGGUUCCAUUCUUCAGAGCCUCCCUCCUGCAAGCGGAAGGAAGGACUGGCCAUGCAGGACGUUUUAGAGGACACCACCCAGGAGGAUCCGCACAGGCUCUUCACCAUGAAACAGAGGCACAAAGGCCAUAGACUGCCUGACGUGUGGACUCGUUUUUUCUGGCAUGGACUGGCACUCGAUACAUGGUGACUGGGGACAAAGCGACAGCGAGAGAGCACUCAAUGAUCUAGAAAGCGGGAUGAUUCUACAUUGGCAGAAGCAGGCCUACUCCCUGAGCAGUGGCAGUUAUUCACAUGCAUUGGUUGCGCUCUGAUUGCUACCUCCCUGCUGUCACCAUCGGAAGCAACGGCCAAGCAAGAUGCUGCAGCGAAGCAUUCACACUAGUGACGCGGCAAGAGGCUCUGGACAAUCCAUUGAGUUCAGCAACACUUUAGAGGAACCCGAGAAAAAGGAUCCGCACAGGCUCUUCAGCAUGAAAUAGAGGAAGCCACUGUGCGGCUUUGGAUGUCUACGAGACAGCGUUUCUCGGUAACACCGACGUUGCCGUCCUUUAUGGAUUGUAUACAUCGGUGGAAGCGGGCCAGUCAGUCGCGUGCUGCGAAAGUGCGCAGUCAUUUGCACGUCAGCGAGGAUUGCAAUCAUCGCCCCAUCAUUGAUGACACUAUUGCAGCGGAGGACCACUUCCAAAAUUCUGUGAGAAUCGUUCACGUGCGGUGCCGUUACGUCCUCGUCAGCGAUGGUUCCAUUCUUCAGAGCCUCCCUCCUGCCAGCAGAAGGUACUGUCUGCCAAAAGUCAAGCAGGGAAAUUUUCAGAAAGUUUAUUGCCACCAGCAAUUUUAAGGCUUCUUGUAAACCUGGCAAGGAGAUUGCUGAGCCUUCUACAACCACGGCUUUGCGUGUUAUCGGACGACUAUCGGCAAGUUGGUAUCCUGCAUGACUCCUGCGUUGGCGGAAGCGGGCAUACUUCCUCUGCAGUGGCAGUUAUUCAUGUGCAUUGGCUGUGCUCUGAUCGCAACUUCCCUUACCGUGUACUCUCUGCCAAGAGUCAAGCAGGGAAAUGCUUCUUGUAAACCUGGCAAGGAGAUUGCUGAGCCUUCUACAACCACGGCUUUCGCUGUCAUAGGACGACUAUCGGCAAGUUGGCCUCCCGCAUGGAAGCACUGGCCGUGCAGGACGUUUUAGAGGAUACCAACCAGGAGGGUCCGCACAGGCUCUUCACCAUGAAACAGAGGCACAAAGGCACUGCCUGACGUGCGGACUCGUUUUUUCUGGCAUGGACUGGCACUCGAUACAUGGCGACCGGGAGCAAAGGGACAGCGAGAGAGCACUCAAUGAUCUAGAAAGCAGGAAGGCACGAAAGCCAUAGACUGCCUGAUGUGUGGACUCGUUUUUUCUGGCAUGAACUGGCGCUCGAUACAUGGCGACCGGGAGCAAAGCGACAGCGAGAGAGCGCUCAAUGAUCUAGCAAGCGGGAAGGCACAAAGGCUAUAGUCGACCGCCUGACAUGUGAACUCGUCUUCGAACAAGAGGACAGAGAAAGAGCAAUAGACGACCUGGAGAGUGGGAAAGAAGUCACUGUGCGGCCUUGGAUGUCCGACGGUAUUUUAUUCCGGGGACUUCGGUGACAGCGUUUCUCGGUAACACCGACGUUGCCGUCCUUGUACGGAUUGUAUACGUCGGUGGAAGCUGGCCAAUCAGUCGCGUGCUGCAAAAGUGUGCAGUCAUUUGCACGUGAGCGAGGAUUGCAGUCGUCGCUGCAUCACUGGAAACAACAAUGCAGACGAUGUGGCCCUUACCAGAGCUUUUCUAUGACCCUUGCUUCAAGGCGCAACACCAGUGCUUUUACAGGAAGGCACAAAGGCUAUAGUCGACCACCUGACGUGUGAACUCGUCUUGGAACAAGAGGACAGAAAAAGAGCGCUAGACGACCUAGACAGCGAGCUAGUGGGAAGGAUGUCACUGUGCAGCUUUGGAUGUCCGGCGGUAUUUUAUUCUGGGGACUUCGGCGGUGACAAGCUCGCAGUGUGUUCCGUCGGAAAAGCACGGAUGUGAACAUCUUUUUCGGAAGUACCAGUAUUACAAUACCGUCACUCUUGGCCGGCGGUCCAGUCGGAGUGGAGGGACCAAGCUGAAAAGCUUGGUCGUUUCGUCGCAUAAAAAUGGCGUGUUCAUUUGAAAAUACCUUAAAAUGUUGUGACCUCUGCAUAAAAUUCUAGCCGUUGCUCAAGAAUGUCUAGGUUUCAUUUAAUUUUCCUUAUGCAUUUGUACAACAAUAAUCUUCUCGCUAAAUAAAUAAAAAUUGAUUCACUCCGUCGGCAUAAUCCUAUUCGUGCUCAGCCUCCAUUGAAUUAGCCGGGCAGUUACACAGAAAAAAACUGGCACCCGGCACUGUUGGUACUUCUCAUUUCGUACGUAAAGGAAACACCUCUAAACUGGAGAGAACUUUUUUAUAAGCUGCAGGUUUUUGUUGAUGUCUUUCUUUUAAGAAUGAGACCCCCAUCUCGAUAAUUUACUUCAAGAAAAACAGCAUGAAAUUCCAUGCUUCUCAACUUUGCACUGAGUCAUUUGCAGUCUCAGUUAUCUUUUGGUGGCUUUUGAACAACAACAAGCAGUGCUCUGUGACAUCCAAACCUUCUUUUGGCCUUCUUUUUGGUUUUUAUGCGUUCCAUGAUGUUCAUUUUUGGCGAUAUGACAAAAUCGCCAAUAAGUACAAUGUUUAUAAAAAUAAUCUGCUGUGCUCAUUGUUUCGAUGUUCCUUGAACAGACAUGCUUUAAGCUGAACCGAGGCAACCAGCACCCGAUUUCUCAGUACUGCUCAUGCUGUGAAACUGCUGCAUUCUUUCUUAUAAGCAUUGAAAGCACCAAGCAUUACAGCUUGGUGCUACACUUGCGUGGAUGACAAUGUUUCCCUUUUUUUCGCUGAAUUCUGUGCACAGACAGCGUUUCUCGGUAACACCGACAUUGCUGUCCUUGUACGGAUUGUAUACGUUGGUGGAAGUGGUCCAGUCAGUCGCAUGCUGCGAAGGUGCGCAGUCAUCUGCUUGUCAGCGAGGGUUGCAGUCGUCUCCGCAUUAUUGGCGACAACCAACGCCACUACACCAGUGGAAGCAGGCAUACUCCCAGAGCAGUGGCAGUUAUUCACCUGCAUCGGUUGUGCACUCAUUGCUGUUUCCCUGUCGUCACCAUCGAAAGCACUGGGCGAGCGGGAUGCUGCGGCGAAGCAGUCGCACUAGUCACGCGUCAAAACUGGAAAUGCGCCCUUGAGCUCAUCGACAUUUUAGAGGACAUCAACCAGGAGGGUCCACACAGGCUCUUACCAUGAAAUAGAGGCUGAUACCAACGUUCUUGAGGAGUGUGCGCUGUUCUGAAUUUGAUGAAGAGAUGGUAUCUUCCCUGCAUCCAGAUGUGAUGGUUUUUGCUCAGCGGUGUGCGGCCUGCGUUCAGUUUGCAAAGGCAACCGAGAUACAGCGUCUUCGGCGUACAGUUAGGCAAGCACAUAGACGGAUUAAAGGAUUGCCGCAAGAACUGUGAUAUUCUUCAUCGUAGGUAAAUUCCCCGUUGAGCUGAUGACCCCGGUGACUCAUCAGGAUUGGAAUCGACGCCGCUGAGCUCAUCAAUAUUUUGCAAGCCAACCAGAAGGGGACGCCUGUAAAAUCUGUAAAUGAAAUAAAAGUAGCGCCAUCUCCUUCUCCUU